rnacentral:lncRNA from 1 species
AUGGCUUUUGACUUUUGUCCAAUUGUUUUGGAGCGAGGAAGCGGCCGGGUGCUGCUCACAAACAUGUCUAUGGAUAAACAGCGGGGCGCGAGGGGCCGCGGGACUGGAGCCAGGCAGCCGGGGUGCGGUGGGGGUGGAAGGGUGGCAGCGGAGACCCCCUUCUCUGACCCAGAUCCCCUCGUUCCCCACCAAACCCUGGUCCCCACAUGGCAUCCCCAAGCCCUUUGUGCAGGACGAAUGCGGGGACAAAUAUUUUGGCUUUUCCCGGCAAACACCCGACUUCAGAAAAACAACAACAACAACAAAACCCCCCGGAGUCAUCUGACGGCGGCACGUGGCCUGUUGGCACACAAACAGGGCGCACGCGGGGAUGGCGCUGGCCCGGCUGGGGAUGGAUGCGGGGCCGUGCCUUGCGUGUGCCCAUGCCAGGGAUGUGGCACGCGGGGACUUUGCUCCUGGCGCUGUGUUUGCCGGCACUCCCAGGCGCUGCUUUGCAAUUCGUGCGGAAAGCCCCAGCCGGUGCGCGGUGCCCAUCCCCGUUGCUGUCCCCUUCCGUGUCUCCCCGCAGCUAAAACCUCACUUGCGUGGCAUUUGCAGUUUUUUUUAGCUCUUUCCAAUAAAAAUCAAAGGACAACCAGGGCUGAGGGAUAUGCUGGAUCCAACGCCAUGCGGGUGCUGGUGGGGAUGCGGCCGUCCUUGGGGCGAGGACCGUGGGGCUGUCACCGCGCUGAUCCCCGUCCCCUGGCACCUCGGCCGCGGGGCCGCAGCUCCCUCCCUUGUUUUGCUGCCCUUCGCCCCGCGGGAGGCUGGUGCUUCCCAAGCAAACAAAACCACCCCCGGUGCCUGUGCCGCUCCAGAGCUUGGACUUUAGAGCCUGGCCUGGAAGGGGGGAUGGAUCCCCGGGGUGGGGGCAGACCUCACAUCCCAUCCCCACUGCUGCCAGGGGAGCCCCUGGCCCCUGGCCCAUGCCCCGUGUGCCAUUUCUGUCCCCAGCCCCGCGUGCCCUGCAGGGGCUGGAAUGGGAAGGAAGCCUUGCACCGGCUGGGAACAGCUCGCACAUUUUCUGUUUCACUGUGGGGGGGGUGCGGCAGAAAUAAUCUGCCUCUUGUGCUGGUGCAGCCCUAG